AAUCAUUAUACAUAUCUUUAGCGCAAAGAAUCAAUUUUGAGAGCAAUGAGAUACAGAUAUAUCUCACAGGCUUGAGUAUUAACCACCUUUAUCCUCUGAAAUAGCUCUCAAAUUAGCGUGACAACCUUUUGAAUAGUACACGAAUGUAUUGGGUCGAAAGAUUCAUUAAUGAUGAUGGAAUCACUUUUGGACUCGUACUCACAACAUAUGUAUUGGAAUUUGUUUACGUCCAAACAGCAGCCAAAUUAUGUGUCGUUUCUUGACACGGCUUGCAGGACUUUGUGGUUGAUGAAUUCUCAAACGAAUACCUGGCUUUGCACCCAAUGCCAUCAACAACAAAAAAAGCCAUCUUUGCUGGAGGAGCAUUUUGAAGCUGUUGAAGAAGAGGAUGAAAAGGCUAUUGGUGGUUCUGAUCCAUCAGCAGCGAGUGAAUUGUCAAAAGAUGAGCAUUAAAACACAAAGGCCAAAUCCAAGAAAAAAGUACAAGCUCCUAGAUGAAGAGGAAGCUGCCGAAAGUUAAUCGAGCUCUGGCAGGCCGACAUCUUGAGGAGGAGGACGAGCUGAAUGAGAAUAAGGGAGCUGAUGAUGCAGAUGUUCAGAAAACAUCAAAGAAAAAGAAAGGUCUCACCAGUGAAGUUCUCCAAGAUGAGAGGUUUACAGCUAUGCUUGAAAAUAAGGUAUUUCAUAGAGCUUCUGUUUAUGCAAAAAACUUGCUUUUCUUGAUUGCUGCUUUUAGUUAUGAUCAACCAUGUAGUACCUUGUUCCCAGGGAUUUGUGAAUAGUUGGAACUUUAAUAACCCCUGGACAGUAAGUAAUAUAGAGACUGUGAAAAUGCACCAGAAAUGAUAAUCAUUAUACAUAUCUUUAGCGCAAAGAAUCAAUUUUGAGAGCAAUGAGAUAUCUCUCAAAUUAGCGUGACAGCCUUUUGAAUAGUACACGAAUGUAUUGGGUGGAUUUUAUUUGAUGAUUAAUGUACAAAGAUUCAUUAAUGAUGAUGGCAUCACUUUUGGACUCGUACUGAUAACAUAUGUAUUGGAAUUUGUUUACGUCCAAACAGCAACCAAAUUAUGUAUCUUUUCUUGACACCGCUUGAAGGACUUUGAGGUUGAUGAAUUCUCAAACGAAUACCUGACUUUGCACCCAAUGCCAUCAACAACAAAAUAUGCCAUCUUUGCUGGAGGAGCAUUUUGAAGCUGUUGAAGAAGAGGAUGAAAAGGCUAUUGGUUGUUCUGAUGCAUCAUCAUCGAGUGAAUUGUCAGAAGAUGAGCAUGAAAACACAAAGGCCAAAUCCAAGAAGAAAGUACAAGCUCCUAGAUUUCGAAGUGAAGGAUAAAUGGCAAAAGAAGGGUUUUCUAAAAACCCCACGAAAACAGAGAGGAAAAACCAACUGAGGUGUUGGGGUUUAGUACCACUGGCAGAGGGUUUAUUACUCCGGUUGAUGGAAGCCAAGAUGUGAUUCUUUCAUCAAUCAGCAGACCCAGGAGAUGCGGCGUUGGAGGUGGAUACGACACAAAAAUCCAAGAAAGAAAACCCCACUGGUAAAAACCUACUGUUUGCCUCCCACCAUCAAACCCCAUCCAUACACACAUGUUUCCCCUUCUCGAUUUUUUUUGUUUCUUUUAUUUAGGGUUUGAAAAGCCAGAGCAGUUGAGAGGAAAGGGCAAGAAAAAAUGAAAAGAAAUUGAUUGUUACAGGGAACUUGAGGGGGGAAUUGUUGGUUGCUUGGUUUGCUGUUACUGCUAAUUUUUUUGUGAUAAUUACUUUGGUAGGAUUGAUUAACUUGAGAAGAACAAGAUGGUAAUGCUAGAUGAUUUAGUUAUUGAUCGAAUUCGAUAAACUUACUAUAAGCGCUCUCUCCAUUGUACGCUGCAGUUUAAC